GGGCGCGGGGCGGGGCUGGGGAGGAGCCGCGGCCGAGGCGGCCCCGCGGCGGCAGGUGUGCAGGGGGCGGAGGUGCGGCUGAGGCGGAGGUGCGGGGAUGUCCACUCCCGCCCGCGCCCUCCAGGGGCCGGGGCUCGGAGGCCCGCACCGCCUCCCGGACGAGCUUCGAGAGCGGCUUCGAUCUGCGCACAACUUGGGGCGCGCAGGUUCCACGUCCGGCGCCCAGAGGAGAAAGGCGCGCGUCCCCGACCGCGGCGCCCGCGCGGACCCCAAUGGUGGAAGGGAAGAUUUUGGAGAAGUGAACCACCGAAGAGGCCUGGCAUUGCUCCUGUGACUUAGCGCUGGAGAGGAGGCAAGAUGCUGGCAUAGCUGUUGGACUGAGAACCUGCUAUGCCAACAUAUUGCCAUCUUUCUUGUCUGAUAGCGGCCGUGGCCACUGCCUGCCACCCCUCACGAGUCGCUACGGAUGUGUGCCCUUCCUUGCGUGUGGGUUUCCAUGACCUGGCCCUGCUCAUCUUUCUGACCUCUCUUCUGCCAUGCUGCCUGUCUCUCCAUUUUAGCCCCAACCGGCCUUUCUGGACGUGCCUGCCUCUUUCUCAUCAUCUGGGUCUCGGUGAGGGCAUCAGCUCCUGAGAGAAGCCUUCCUUGGCCAUGCUAUCUCAAAUAGCUGUCACAUGCCUUGGUUGCCCUUCACCCCUGUACCCUGCCUUACUUUUUCAAAAUAUUGGUCACUCCCUGGAACAUAUUCAUUGAUUUAAGUGUCUUCAUCUCUCACAUUAGAGUGUAAGCCCCUUGAGGGUUAGGGACCUUGUUUGUCAUGUUCAACCACAGAAUCCCCAGAGCCUGACACACAGGAGGCCCUUGGUACAUACUUUUGGAACUCCACCCUGACUUUUGUGGUGCAAGAAAGAUGUCAAGUGAUUAUAUUUUCCCCGUUACAAAUGGCUUUGGUGAAACUCUGACCCACAAGUAACAAUAUAAAGAACUAAACAGUUGUUGAGUUCUGGACCUGCAACCCUCACUCCUUAGAGUCGUCAAUAUGGUAUCACUGGGUCCACAGAUUAUAUCCGUAUAUCAUAAUGAGAAAAGCGUGAGCUUCAAAAUAAAGCCUCUGUGAGACUUGCACACUGGAGUUGCCUAUCUGUGUGUUCUUGGACAAGUCAUUUAACCUUUGAGCCAUGGUUUUCUCAAUUGUAAAAUGAGGCUAAUAAUACUAAUCCCAAAGGAUUCUUGAGUCAAAGAGAUAAGAUGCUUUAGCCAAACGACUCUUACUUCAUGUCCGAAAAGUUAGUGUCUAUAAAAUUCCUGAUACACAUGUAGGAGUAGGCACCCAACAAAUUUUAAUUAUUUUACUACCAAGAAAAAAAAAGUUAAUUUUUUGGGGGCGCCUGGGUGGCUCAGUUGGUUAGCGACUGCCUUCGGCUCAGGUCGUGAUCCUGGAGUCCCAGGAUUGAGUCCUGCAUCGGGCUCCCUGCUCAGCAGGGAGUCUGCUUCUCCCUCUGACCCUCCCCUGUCUCAUGCUCUCUCUCUCUCUAUCUCACUCUCUCUCUCAAAUAAAUUAAUAAAAAAAAAAUCUAAAAAAAAAAUAUCUUGAGGGAUGCCUAGGUGGCUCAGUCAGUUAAGCUUCUGCCUUCAGCUUGGGUCAUGAUCCCAGGGUCCUGGGAUCGAGUCCCACAUCAGACUACUUGCUCCGUGGGGAGCCUGCUUCUCCCUCUGCCUGCUGCUCUCCCUGCUUGCGUUCUCUCUCUCUCUCUCUGACAGAUAAAUAAAUAAAAUCUUAAAAAAAAUAUAUCUUGAGGGACACCUGGGUGGCUCAGUUGGUUAAGCAUCUGCCUUCGGCUCAGGUCAUGAUCCCAGGGUCCUGGGAUCGAGUCCCGCAUCGGGCUCCCUGCUCUGCGGGGAGCCUGCUUCUCCCUCUGCCUCUGUCUCUCUCUCUGUCUCUCAUGAAUAAAUAAAUAAAA